GAACGCUGGCGGCGUGCUUAACACAUGCAAGUCGAACGGAAAGGCCCUGCUUUUGUGGGGUGCUCGAGUGGCGAACGGGUGAGUAACACGUGAGUAACCUGCCCUUGACUUUGGGAUAACUUCAUGAAACUGGGGCUAAUACCGGAUAGGAGCUCCUGCUGCAUGGUGGGGGUUGGAAAGUUUCGGCGGUUGGGGAUGGACUCGCGGCUUAUCAGCUUGUUGGUGGGGUAGUGGCUUACCAAGGCUUUGACGGGUAGCCGGCCUGAGAGGGUGACCGGCCACAUUGGGACUGAGAUACGGCCCAGACUCCUACGGGAGGCAGCAGUGGGGAAUAUUGCACAAUGGGCGGAAGCCUGAUGCAGCAACGCCGCGUGCGGGAUGACGGCCUUCGGGUUGUAAACCGCUUUCGCCUGUGACGAAGCGUGAGUGACGGUAAUGGGUAAAGAAGCACCGGCUAACUACGUG
rnacentral:rRNA from 1 species